GACCUCUGACUUCUAGCUUCCAGAACUGUGACAUAAAUUUCUGUAAAGCCAUCCAGUGUGUAGUAUGUUGUUAUGGUAACACAAGAUAAAUACGAGGGUCAACCAGGGACUCCGGAGACCAGAUUGUUGACACUGGAGAUAGGUGAAGAAUGGAUUGGAGAGGGCAAGAAGAGACACUAGGAAAGCUUCGCCAUCACCCUGGCAAAAGAUGAUGCAAAUGAACCAAGACAGGUGCUGAGGACGGUGGGGGAGGGAGGCAGGCCUCACCUCCACCCCCAGGACCAGAACCCCCUUCCCCAUGAAGAAUAUUCUGCAUCACACAUGAACUUGAAGGAGAAGGAAAGCUUAACAGAAAAUAAGCAAUCAAGGACCAUUUGAACCUCCAUGUUGGGAAAUGAGAUGAAGAGGUAAAAAAGCGAAGUGUGUACCCAAGAUUACAGCUAAACUAGGACUUGAACCCAUGUCUGUCUGAAGUCCGAGCUGAAACUUUGGCCACUAAAUUGCCCUGUCUCACUACAGGGGAAGAAGCUGAGACCCAAAGGGGCAACUUGAGCCACCUGAGGUCACUCUGUGGAUAAGCAACAGCUCUCAGAGGUUUGCGUGAGACAGGCCGGAACUACUUCUCUCUGCCCUCCCAGGAUCUUUGCAUGACAUGAUAUGAAACCAAGAUUCUCAACAACCAAGAUUCUUCUGUGGGGCCCAGCAGAAGUAUCUGAGGAAUCUUUUCAAAAAUCUGCAUGAACUUGCUAAGGCUGCCAUUAACAAGUUCCACUUUUCUGGGUGGCUUAAACAACAGAAAUGCAUUUCCACACAGUCGUGGAGGCUGGAAGUCCAAGGUCAAGGCAUCCACAGGUUUGGUCUCUUCUGAGGCCUCUCUCUGUAGCUUGUAGAUGGCCGCCUUCUCCUUGUGUCUUCCCAUAGUUAUCCCUCUUUCUGUAUCUGUGUCCUGAUCUCUUCUUAUAAGGACACCAGUCAUAUUGGAUUGGUGGACUCAUUUUUAACUUAAUUACCCUUUUACAAAUUCGAUCUCUAAAUACAGCCACAUUCUGAGGUACUGGGAGGACUUGUUCUAUAUGAAUUUUUUUUUUUUUUUGUGGAGGGACACAAUUUGCUCAUAAUAAUGUGUCCCCUGGCCCUUCAAAACUCAUGUCCUUUCUGCAUGCAAAAUACACUGACUCCAUUUCAACGUGUUCAAAAGUGUUAACUGAUUCCAGCAUCAACUCUAAGUCCAAAAGCUCAUCUAAAUAGCAUCUAAAUCAGAUGUGGGUGAAACUCAAAGUAUGAUUUAUUCAGAGGCAAAAUUCCUCUUCAGCUGUAAACUUGUAGAACCAGACAAGUUAUCUGCUUUCAAAAUACAAUGGUGGGGCAGGCAUAGCAUAGAUAUCCUAUGGGAGAAAUCAGAAAGAAGACAGGAGCCACAGGUCCCAAGCAAAUUCCAUUAGAUCUUAAGGCUCAAGAAUAACCCUCUUUGACUUCAUAAUCUAUGGGCCACCUGGUCCCUCCCUAGCAGCUUCUGUGGUGGUUUCUCGUCAUCUCCCACCAUUGUCCCAGCAAAUAAAUACUAUGACCCGACAACUCACCAUGUGCCAGAAACAUUUCCUGUAUGUCAGUCAACUCAUUACAUUCUCACCAGGGCCCUAAGAAAGAAGCCCAGUGAUCAAUUCCAUUUGACCAAGGAAGAAAGUAAGACACAGAGAGGUCAAGUUCUUCGGCCAGGGCCACGUAGCUUAUUAAUGGAGUUGCUGGGACUUGAACCCAGCCAGUCUGACCCCAGGGCCUUUUCUUAUACCGAGACCUUGGCAUUCCAGGUGAGGCUCCUGCUCACCAGUGUUAGACAAUCUCUGACCUGCUGUGUCAGCUCCAAGCGUUUACUGGUGUAAAUGUUUCUUCUCCUCAUCCCCAGAAGGAGUUAAAUGAGACAGAAGGCCUCCUCGUAAUCCUCUCGGUGCUCCUGUAGCUGGGACAAUGUGUGAUGCACAGAACACUCAUAAGUGUCUGUUAGUGAUGAGUGAAUUGGGGGAGGCUGUGGUCCUUCCCUGAAAAGGUGAACCAAUUAAAACUCAAAAUCACCUUAGCAAGAUACCAAAGGGCAGAAUUUCAGUGGUCCCAGCCCCUCUGGAAGCCCCUGGAAGCUUAUUUUCAUUCUCAAUAGACCUCCUUUGCUUUGCCUCACAGAGAGUGCUUCCAUUCAACCAGUAAUUAGUGUCUCUAAGUGGAAUCUACUUAAGAAAGGACACAAAGCCUGAGAAAGUUGUAUUAUGCCAUUUAUAAAUGUCCGGUGAUCUGCUGCCGCACUGUGAUUCACGGAGCUGAAAUAAAUGAUUUGCUUCAAAAAAAAAUUAUGAACGUUCAUUCCGCUGGUAGAAUCUCUUAAUUCCCGUUACACAUGUCAGCAUAUUAUGACUGGAAGCUGUCAGGUUCUAAUGACUAAAAUUUCAUUUUUCAGACUUCUCACACUGUGUGUGAGAACUAUAGGUUAGAAAUGUCUCUGCAGCUAAGUUUCUUCCUCAUCUGGUAAAUUUAGCUCUUUCUUUCUUUUCUAUUUAUUUUUUAAGUGUCCAUGUUUACAUGAAUACCUUGAGUAAACUAACCUCAUGCUUCAUUCAAUAAACGAGGAGGUCUACUACUAUGGUGCUUUUCUUCCCAAAGCUGCUGUCCUUUUUAUAGGACAUAAUGUGUCUUGACAGCUGACAGAUUCAAUGCAAAAUUACUUUUACUUGGCAGAGUGGAUCAAAGUAUGGAUUAUUUUAAAGAACAUUAGCACUUUUUUUGUUUGAAGUAAAAUAUAUUGUUUAUGCUUUGUAUGGAUAAACAACCUUGACAUUGGCUGUAGCUCGUUUUAUUAUCCUUGAAAUGGAAAUUUGUUGACACGAUAUUCAAUAAAUAGAAAUACUUCGGUCCUGUUCACUUAACUCGCAUACUAUACUAAAUAGGAAUUAUUGAUCCUCCAGUUAUUACACUUGUUCCUGAAAUGCUCUGUGGAGGGCAGGAAAACCAACUUCCAAUUCAGGUUGUUAAUAGAUUGGUGGCAAAAUUUAUGUUAUCCAUGUCCAACAAAUCACUAAUAAAAGCUUAUAAGAGGCU